rnacentral:rRNA from 1 species
UACGGGGGGAGCAAGCGUUGUUCGGAUUUACUGGGCGUAAAGGGCGCGUAGGCGGCCAGCACAAGUCGGUUGUGAAAUCUCCGGGCUUAACUCGGAAAGGUCAACCGAUACUGUGCGGCUAGAGUGCGGAAGGGGCAACUGGAAUUCUCGGUGUAGCGGUGAAAUGCGCAGAUAUCAGGAGGAACACCGGUGGCGAAGGCGGCUUCCUGGACCGAUUACUGACGCUGAGGCGCGAAAGCUAGGGGAGCGAACAGG